CCUACGGGAGGCAGCAGUGGGGAAUAUUGCUCAAUGGGGGAAACCCUGAAGCAGCAACGCCGCGUGAGGGAUGAAUGUUUUCGGAUUUUAAACUCCUUUUAGUAGGGAAGAUAAUUACGGUAUCUAUCCAAUAAGCACCGGCUAACUCCGUGCCAGCAGCCGCGGUAAUACGGAGGGUGCAAGCGUUAUUCGGAAUCACUGGGCGUAAAGAGAGCGUAGGCGGGAGAACAAGUCAGAUGUGAAAUCCUAGGGCUUAACCAUAGAACUGCAUGUGAAACUGUUAUUCUAGAGUACAGGAGAGGUAGGUGGAAUUCGUGGUGUAGGGGUGAAAUGCGUAGAGAUCACGAGGAACACCCAUUGCGAAGGCGACCUGCUGGACUAUAACUGACGCUGAUGCGCGAAAGCGUGGGGAGCAAACAGGAUUAGAUACCCGGGUAGUC
rnacentral:rRNA from 1 species